rnacentral:rRNA from 1 species
GAUGAACGCUGGCGGCGUGCCUAAUACAUGCAAGUAGAACGCUGAAGCUUGGUGCUUGCACCGAGCGGAUGAGCGGCGAACGGGUGAGUAACGCGUAGGUAACCUGCUUCUUAGUGGGGGAUAACUAUGGGAAACGAUAGCUAAUACCGCAUAAAAGUCGAUAUCGCAUGAUAUAGAUGUGAAAGGUGCAAAUGCAGCACUAAGAGAUGGACGUGCGUUGUAUUAGCUAGUUGGUGAGGUAACGGCUCACCAAGGCGACGAUACAUAGCCGGCGUGAGAGGGUGGUCGGCCACCCUGGGACUGAGACACGGCCCAGACUCCUACGGGAGGCAGCCGUAGGGAAUCUUCGGCCAUGGGGGCCACCCUGACCGCGCAACGCCGCGUGAGUGAAGAAGGUUCUCGGAUCGGAAAGCUCUGUUGUAAGAGAAGAACGAGUGUGAGAGUGGAAAGUUCACACUGUGACGGUACCUAACCAGAAAGGGACGGCUAACUACGUG